rnacentral:rRNA from 1 species
CCGCCGGCGACCGGCGCACGGGUGAGUAACACGUAUGCAACCUGGCCGUGACAGAUGGAUAACCGGGAGAAAUCCCGCCUAAUACAACAUAAUGCCGGGAGGGGACAUCCCCUGCCGGUCAAAGGGGGCGACCCCGGUCACGGAUGGGCAUGCGGCGCAUUAGGUAGUUGGUGGGGCAACGGCCCACCAAGCCGACGAUGCGUAGGGGUUCUGAGAGGAAGGUCCCCCACAUUGGAACUGAGACACGGUCCAAACUCUUACGGGAGGCAGCAG